CCUCGGUGCCUCAGACCACAUCACUGUCAUGCUAAUGCCUGCAUACAGAUCGCUUGUUAAAGUUGCCAAACAAGUUCACAAACAAAUUCAAGUGUGGCCAGAAGGGUCGUCUGAGGCUCUUCAAGACUGUUUUGACACCACUGACUGGAAUAUGUUUAAACAGGCUGCCACAUACAAUAACACCACAGACCUCCAAGAGUACUCAGAGACUGUCACUGCCUACAUCAACAAGUGUAUUGAUGUAACAGUCACAAAAAACAUCACUGUCCAGGCCAACUGGAAGCUGUGGAUGACAGGGGAGGUCUACAGACUCCUGAAGACGCGGAACGCUGCCUUCAGAGCUGGAGAUGAGGUGGGCCUGAGGACAGCCAGGGCCAGCCUGUCCCACGGCAUCAGACAGGCUAAGAGACAGUACUCCAGGAGUAUAGCCCAUAGAUUCAGCGACAGCAGAGACACUCAGAGCCUGUGGCAGGGGAUACAGACCAUUACGGACUACAAGCCCCCACCGCGGCCCUUUGAAAGCACCAUCUCCCUGCUGAAUGAGCUGAACGGCUUCUUCGCUCGAUUUGCGUCACAAAACAACUCCACUGCACAGAAGACUCCACCUCCUCCCGGUGACCAGGUGAUGACGCUGUCCCCGGACAACGUGAGGAGAUCCCUCAGCAGGAUCAACGCACGCAAAGCUCCGGGUCCUGCCAACAUUCCUGGGUGUGUACUGAGAGACUGUGCAGAGGAACUCACUGAUGUCUUCACAGACAUUUUUAACAUCUCGCUUAGUCAGGCUGUUGUUCCCACAUGCUUCAAAGCAGCACUCACACAUCUAGAGAAAAAAGACUCAUACGUCAGAAUGCUGUUCUUAGACUUCAGUUCAGCAUUCAACAAAAUCAUCCCUCAACAGCUCAUUCACAAACUGGUCCAGCUGGGACUCAACACUUCGCUGUGCAACUGGCUGUUAGACUUUCUAACUGAAAGACAUCAGGCAGUACGGGUCGGCAGCAACACAUCCAGCACCAUCACAGUAACAACUGGGGCCCCCCAAGGAUGUGUGCUGAGCCCCCUCCUCUUCAGUCUGCUGACCCACGACUGCACUCCGUCACACAACUCCAACCUCUUCAUUAAGUUUGCGGUUGACACGACUGGGGUGGGUCUCAUUAGCAACAGAGAUGAGACAAACUUCAGGAGCGAGGUGAGCCGCCUGGCCGGGUGGUGCAGUGACAACAAUCUCUUUCUGAACGUGGAGAGGACGAAGGAGAUUGUUGUUGACUUCAGGAGAGUGCACACUCAGCAUGCUCCUUUGACCAUCAAUGGUGCGUCUGUGAAGAGAGUGAGCAGCACCAAGUUCCUGGGUGUGCACAUCACAGAGGACCUCUCCUGGACUGAAAACACAGCAGCACUGGCCAAGAAAGCACAGCAGCGUCUCUACUUCCUCCUGGAACCCGUCUCAUCCGUAAAGCCCUCUUCAUCGCAGGUGAUCCCACUCACCCGUCACACAGCUUCUUCAGUCUGCUGCCAUCAGGGAGGAGACUGUGGAGUCUCUAGUCCAGGACCAGUAGACUGAAGGACAGCUUCAUUCAUCAGGCUGUUGGGAAGCUGAACUCCCUCCCGACCUUGCCCCCCCCCCCUCUUUUUCCCCAUGCACCAUUGAACUCUGAACCUCAGUCCCUACCCCCCGCUCCCAGCUCCCACUAAC
ensembl:lncRNA